UUUUAAACCCGGUAGCAGCUAAAAUCCUUUUUGUUUACAGCAAACUUAAAUAUACCGUAUAUGCAGCCUAUGAAACAGAUCCUUCGUGCCUCAGGAUGACAGAACCACAAAAAGAUUGAAGCGAAUAACGGGACUACCG
rnacentral:sRNA from 1 species